rnacentral:pre_miRNA from 12 species
CUGGAGUCCUGCUCCUUCGCCCAGUGUUCAGACUACCUGUUAAGGACAAUGCCGUUGUACAGCAGUCUGCAUAUCGGUUAGACUGGGCAAGGCAGAACG